AGAUUCCAGCGCCAGAAGGGACCAUUGUGAUCAUCUAGCUUGACUUCCUGUGUAACACAGACCACAGAACCUCCCCCAAAUCAUUCCUAGAGCAAAUCUUUUUGAAAAACACCCUAUCUUGACUUAAAAAAUGGAGAAUCCAUCACUGCCCAUGAGUUCUAUUUUUGUCCAUGUUCCUAUUCUGGAGGCAGUGCUGCCAGGAGGAAUUAAUAUUUAUCUUAUUCUCAACUAAAACUUAAGAUGAGCGUGUGCCUGACAGCCAGGCCAUGGAUCACAACAUGAUUAUGCAUGAACUACAAUACAUUUAUCUCAUCAUCUUGGCGGUCUGAAGUGCUACAUGUGAACCACGUGGACCAAACUUACAUUUUUCAUUCCCAUUCAAAAGUAAAGCCAAACUGACAAUGGAUUACACAGGCCCUGUCUUCCCACAGUCCACAUGCAGAUCUUCCUCUGCUGCAAAGAAGUGCCGCCUUUGUAGCACAGUCACCUUAGAUUCCAUGAGGAAAGGGAGAGGAGAGAACAGGGAAGCAGGGAGAAGCAGCGAGUAUGGAAUCACUGAACAUGUAGGACUAUAUUAGGUUUGCUGCAGAGUCUUCUCCACACUGUGGAACCUCCACUUUAAAAAAUUUCUAGGGCCAGGGAAUGGAGACUUGCUGCCAAGGAGCUCUGGGGUGGGCAAAGGACCCCAGAACCAGGCCAGGGCCUCUGUAAAGGUGGUUACCACCAUCAGGUACCUCAAAGCUGAAUGAAUCAAUAGAGGAGAAAGUCCCUAUUCCCUAACAGAAUGACCUAGAGAAAACUGCCUGAGCUGAACCCACUCCUCUCCCAAGCCUCCUUCCUGCUCCUGCUAUUUUUCUAUGGGAGGAGCCAGUCUGGGAUAUAGGACAAAUGCAGGACUGCAGUAGUGUGUGUGUGACUAGCUGCCUCUUCUUACCUACUGGGCCUAUUGCUUUCUGAGCAAGCUAGUGCUCCCCAAAGCAUGGACUAGUUACUUUUCCCUUGCAGAGUCCAAUAAAAUGUGACCCUGAUUUAAGAUGUCUUUGUCUUUCAGCAAUGGAGAGACUAAUGAUUUAACUGUCACUACCAAGCUUUGAAAGACAAGUGCUGAGAGCUAGGACACUGAGUGAAGGACAAAAAUACCUUAAUGAAAUGACAGUGCCGAUUUUAGUUUCAUACGGCUUUCAGUCACAUCUUGGGAAACGGACGGUGUUGUCAUCUAGACUCUUGUUCCGGGAUAGCUGAGGUUAGGACAGGAGGAGAGACACUGGAAAGUCUGAAGAAUGACAACAGUGAUGUGAAGAGAAAUCUAAAGAUAAUUAGAGGCAUUUAAGUUUAUAAAAUACCUGCACUUCUAAGAAGCCAUUGGAAGACAUCUGAUUCGUACUACUGACAAAUCAUUUUGUUGCUUAGUGACGGUUUUAAGUAACCCGAUGCAUUACUAAACAACACGUAAUUCAUUUAAAAGUAAGGGAUGGUACCCCCUCCAUACCCCUGCCACAGACACACACACAUUUAUAGUGUCAAAAAAAACAGAAGAUAUCUCUUUUAACUCCUUUGAGAGUUUGGCACUCCUGAAAGAGAAGGGCAAAUUGUGUUGGCAUCAGUCUGAUAAUCAGAUGCACUGCUCAGACUCCUGAAGUUUACCUUGCUGUUAAGAGAAGCCGCCACCUCACUAGGAAGAAAUUAAUUGGGACAGCAACAAUGAAGCAAGGUGACAUUUUAAAGAAUUUGUUUUAAUUAAACAAGUCUGCAACAGAAAGAAAGCUGGUUCUAAUCAGCUAGCAAAGAUCAAACAUCAGGAUAAUCACAAAGAACACCUCUCUCUUUAUUUUAAAUUAGUUGUGUGAAUUUAAUGCUAUUGAAAAUUGCCCAGUUGAUUGAAAGGACUGGAGUGCAGAUGUAAACUGGUUUCAGGGAAGUUCUGGCUCUGUCAUUCACCACCAAUGACUUUCACUGGUUUGCUAGGAAAACAUUGUUAAAUACACCUAGAAUGUUACUAUCCCCUCUGAUCAGCCAGGGAAAUGUUAUUUAAGUCUAGAUAACAGAGCUCCCUUUUUCCAGUGAUUGCAAAUUCUGAGGUUUUUGCGGUGGGUUACUUUCCUGUUGAAAGAGAUAGGUCGCACAGACACAGUAUUAUCUGAUCCUCUAUCUUUAUUCACAAAAUGUACUUAAAGCCUCUUUACCUUGAGCAAAGAUGCAAAACCAUCAGCACACCAGGCAGUCCACUGACAUAAAGUCCACCUAAGACACCACUGUGUCCAGCCCAUUUUCCCCAAUAUUAAAACUUGCCAAUGUGUGAAAUAAGCAAUAAAGAUUUAGGACAAAUGACCAACUUGCAAAGCACCUGUAUUUUGUGGGCAUCAUACCAUAACUGACAGAUUAUAAUUGUUUUUAAGGAAGCCGUAACCAAGUGAGAAAAAUCUGUUUUAUUUUUUAUGAAGAUAGUACAUGUCUCGGUGUGUGUUUAUGAUGGGUUAAUUACUAUGGAGUUAGAUCCAACGGGUAUGUUAAAGGAUCCAGGUACAAAAGUAGAACAAUGUCCUAGAUAAGGAGCAUCCCAACACACACUCAGACACAGUAACCAGAUUUACAGCUGCGAAAAGGCAACUCCUCAGCGCCAACCCUGGUACACAGCUGCUUUGCCAAGGCUGAGAAAAGAGACAUCAAAAGGAAGACAAAAACACUAGAGGAUCCCAGGACCUAGGCAAGGGGUGGGGGAUUGAGUGACCAGAGGCUGCCCAGCGAGUGUCAGUGAAAGCUGACAGGCUGCCAAGGGAAAUGCUGCAAGCAAGACAGUCUGCUUCUCCCAGCCAGAGAUGGGGGUUAGCUGGGCUGGGGGAAACUCACAAAACCUGGCAAGGAAUGAUUAUGGUGCAAGACAGAUGCAGGCAUAUUGGUCUGCUGUUAUUUUUACCCUUUUCUCUGUGUGCUUUGUACAUCUGGGGAAUGAAUAAAUAAUGCUUUGUUUUGAA